rnacentral:rRNA from 1 species
GUAGGGCGGGACACGUGGUAUCCUGUCUGAAUAUGGGGGGACCAUCCUCCAAGGCUAAAUACUCCUGACUGACCGAUAGUGAACCAGUACCGUGAGGGAAAGGCGAAAAGAACCCCGGCGAGGGGAGUGAAAAAGAACCUGAAACCGUGUACGUACAAGCAGUGGGAGCACAGGUUUACCUGUGUGACUGCGUACCUUUUGUAUAAUGGGUCAGCGACUUAUAUUCUGUAGCAAGGUUAACCGAAUAGGGGAGCCGGAGGGAAACCGAGUCUUAAUUGGGCGUUAAGUUGCAGGGUAUAGACCCGAAACCCGGUGAUCUAGCCAUGGGCAGGUUGAAGGUUGGGUAACACUAACUGGAGGACCGAACCGACUAAUGUUGAAAAAUUAGCGGAUGACCUGUGGCUGGGGGUGAAAGGCCAAUCAAACCGGGAGAUAGCUGGUUCUCCCCGAAAGCUAUUUAGGUAGCGCCUCGUGAAUUCAUCUCCGGGGGUAGAGCACUGUUUCGGCUAGGGGGCCAUCCCGGCUUACCAACCCGAUGCAAACUGCGAAUACCGGAGAAUGUUAUCACGGGAGACACACGGCGGGUGCUAACGUCCGUCGUGAAGAGGGAAACAACCCAGACCGCCAGCUAAGGUCCCAAAGUCAUGGUUAAGUGGGAAACGAUGUGGGAAGGCCCAGACAGCCAGGAUGUUGGCUUAGAAGCAGCCAUCAUUUAAAGAAAGCGUAAUAGCUCACUGGUCGAGUCGGCCUGCGCGGAAGAUGUAACGGGGCUAAACCAUGCACCGAAGCUGCGGCAGCGACGCUGAUGCGUUGUUGGGUAGGGGAGCGUUCUGUAAGCCUG